AGGAGUGCAAUGGUUUCCAUCCCCUAUAGGUCCUCUCAAGUUUCCCCUGACUCCUCUUUCUAUCCCUCAUUGAAUUCCACAAGUAUCCUCUUCCUUCCCCUAUAGAUCUCACCAAGCAUCUCCUACCUGUCCUUUGAUCCCCUGUAGGUCACCUAUAGAUCCCCCAACUGUCCCUCAUGUUCCCCACAGAACCCCCACUCUUCCUCCUCUCCUUUUUGAUGCAGGUGUCCCCCCAGCAAUGACUGAGGACUUGCAGAUCCAGGUUACCCCAGUGACAGUGUGGAUCUGACCUACGCCGAGAUGCAAGCUGCCAUCCCGUGCUCCCCGCCCUCCACUUCCCACACUGCCCCUCAGUCCCCCAUUAUCUACACCAAAGUGAGCACUGGGUUACCGUGCUGAUGAAACCCCCCAGGUGCCUCAUUUAUGGGGUGCUCUGAAGGGGACAGACCCUGAAUUCCCCACUUGGGACUCCCCGAUGUCCUGUUCUAACCCCAGACCAGCUAACUUCCCCAAAUCUAACAAUCCCAAAUUCUCACUGAUAAACCCCAAAUGCUUCCCAGUCAUACCAAACCCCUAAAUGCCCAUCUCUUACCCCAAAAUCCUUCUUUAGCCCCUCAAAUAUCUUAACACCCUUUGAGACCUCCAAAUCCUCACCAAUCCACUCCAAAUCACCACCACCAUUUCUCUGUGAUCCCCUGAUCUGUCCCAAUCUACCUCUCUUCUAGAGAGCUCCCAAAAUGUUUCCUUCCUCCCCUAACAUCUCCUACGGAUGCUCUACAGAUCCUCUACAGAUUUCCCCCACAUUCCUUUCCUCCCAUUCUGUCCUGCUUCUACCAUUGGUCUUUGGGUGGUGAGCAAUUUCUUUGUGCAGCACAAGAUUUGGAAAAUCAUAAACGCAUCUCAAUAUCA